ensembl:lncRNA
CAAUCUGGAAAAUGCUUCACUCAAUAAUCAGUUCCUCCCUCUGCCGCUGUGAGGCGCUGUCGCUUCACUCUGACCCAGUGACCGAAAAAGCCACGGAGCCCUGAUGCAGAGUUGACUUCACACACACGCGUCAGUUUUCCCUCUCAGUGGAUUAUUCUGCAGCUGUCGUUCACCGUAACCUCAAAAUAACCGCAGCGUUGCGCUAACAAGCCCUCUGAUUGGAGAGACCGACUGGGACCGGACCAUGGACAGAGCCAGAGACGACACUCGACACCUCAACACCCCUCUGUCCCAGCCCUCCUCCCAGAUGACCCGCAGAGAGACGACCUCUACUGCCCCUUCACUGCCACCUCCUCAUACUCUGCCCCCUCCUCCAGCGCUCAUCCUCCCGCUAGAUCCUCAAGCAACGAAGACGCUGUUGACAAGUCCCUAAACUGGCUUCUAAGCCUAACUCGAGCCACGUCAGCCGAACCGAGAUCCUCCACCUUUCCCUCCUCUUCUUCGAACUUCCUAGGUGGCGGUGAUUCGUCUUCAAGUUUCCUAGGCGGUGACUCUCUGUUUAAGCGCAGCGAGGGGGGCAUACCAGGCUUGAGCGAGUAUCCUGACACGGAAACCCCUCCUCCCCAACGGAAAGACCCUCCUGCCAACAUGUACAGCACUGAAACGGCCGCUAAUAUCCUUCGACGUUUCAACCUCGAGAAAGAAGAUCUAGAGCAACUAAUCUCGUAUCCUGAACAUGAGAUCACGCCUGAUAAUUUACCGCAUAUCCUUCGCCAAAUCCGCAUUGAAAAGACCAGAAAGACAGCAGCCGCUUCAACGUCUUCAUAUAAAGACCCUUCACCUGCAAGACCUGGGUUCGACAGCAGCUCCUGGGCUGAUUCUAAGCAAACCAAUGUUAUGGACUAUGGACACAAAGACUUGUCAAGUAGUGCGAUGAACUUUUCAAAAGACAUACCUCUUUCUAAACAAAGCACUACAAUUAGGGACUAUUCUAAUAAUAUCCCACCAUUUCUAAAUAAAGUUGACUUGGAAAAAGACAAGUCACCCGUUUUGCAGCCCAGUAAAGUCAUCGAAUAUGGACAUACCGGGAAAUACGUAACCGGGGCUGGUACUGAAAGUGGCACUAUGGGGGCUAUUGCAAGAGCUAUCCAUGGCAUCAUGAAGAUCGAUCCAGGUUUUACAAAAGAAACCUUCCCCACCACUGCGACGGCCACAACUCCCGCUAAGCCGAUCCCCAGUUUGGGGUCUACGUCCCAAGACAAAAUCAGCCCUUCCGCUAGUUUCUCAUCACGGUUUCCCUCGGCAACUUCCAAAUCAAGCGAGAAACCGUCAACAACGCAAGGUCCUGCCGUAGUGAAAUCUUUCAACUUGCCGAAACAGGACACAGAUUUGAGAAGGCGUAAGCCAGAAGCGUUCAAAGAGGAGGAGGAAGACGUCAAGCCGCUUUCCAAGUUGCCGCCACAGUCCACACAAGCCGGGAAGAAGUCCGGAGUCGUAGUCUUUGACAGCGCCAAGAAGCCACAGUCCAAAGUUGACGUCAAAAGGCCAGAAUUGCCGGCUCCGCAUCAAACAAAAACAGGGCCGAUGCCCAACGCAGCCCAGGCGAGCUCACAGUUCGUUUCGAGAAAUGUGGUCCUGCCUACUCCCCCGUCCACGAACCGGAUUCCGACUGUAUCCAGCAACGCGACGGACUGUCCCACCAUCAUCCCGCCAGCGCCGAAGCAGUCGCCGGUGAAGCCCGCGCCAAGUACAGUCAUCCCGAGAAACAAGGUGCUUCUGCUGGCCACCCCGAAGCACCAAGCCCAACUUGCCCCCACACCGGUCAAGAGCCAACCCCUGAAAGGCAUACCUUGCAGGUCCAUGGUGCAAGACUAUGCUGCCGCCUCCCCGAGGACCAUUCCCCCACCUGUUGUCUGUGUGAGAAAGAGUGUCUGCGAAAGAAGGACUGGAUUACUCACCAGAAAACUUCCCUCCACAUCCAGAACUGCAAACCGCUCCGCCAGAGGUCAGUCAUUGUUUCUUUUACUCGAGAAAUGUCAGAAAUAA